UACGUAGGGUGCAAGCGUUGUCCGGAAUUAUUGGGCGUAAAGAGCUCGUAGGCGGUCUGUCACGUCGGCUGUGAAAACCCGAGGCUCAACCUCGGGCCUGCAGUCGAUACGGGCAAACUAGAGUACUGCAGGGGAGACUGGAAUUCCUGGUGUAGCGGUGAAAUGCGCAGAUAUCAGGAGGAACACCGGUGGCGAAGGCGGGUCUCUGGGCAGUAACUGACGCUGGAGGAGCGAAAGCCGUGGGGAGCGAACAGG
rnacentral:rRNA from 1 species